rnacentral:tRNA from 1 species
GGGGAUGUAGUUUAGUGGUAGAACAUUGGCUGGCAUGACCUAGGCCCUAAGUUUGAUCCCUAGUAUCACCA